GGAGGAUUCAACGAUGACUUGCUCCGCCUCUGACCUUAAGGAGAGUGCUACCCAAUAAGAGAGUCAGACAGGAACAGAGCCACUCCUAAAGCAAAGCAGAACAUUCUGUGAGUGAUUGAUCAUAGAGAUUUAGCUGCACCCAUGGAGUUGGACAUCUGGGAGGCUCAACAGAGGAGCAGCAUCAACCUAGCCUCACUUGUUAUCAGAGCAGCAAGAGAACAUGGAAGCUUGCUAAGAGGGCUCCUUCCUGAGUGGCCCAGACAUCACCCUCCUUGCUCAUAGAAGUCAUCAAGGAAGCACUGGAAUGGUCUUUCCUACUCAUCCCCAAGUCCCCCAGCUACCACCCCUAGCUACCACCCCUAGUUCAGGCCAGCCUUGGACUAGGGUGUCUGUGUGCUAAGUGUUGCUCUAAGGACCACCUUGACAUUCUCUUCCCAGGAUCUCAGGCCUGCUGCUUUUGGUAGAAGAAGCCUUCAGCAGGCCGGGGUGGAAUGGAAGUUAUCUUUAAAAACAACAAAGUUUACUCUCUGCAAAAUUGCGUGUGGUGUUAGGUAGAAUAAUGGCCUGUAAAAAUGUUCAUGCCCUAACCACCAGAUCCGGUGAAUGUGUCAUGCUACCUGGCAAGAAAGACUUAAGGUUGCAGAAGGAAUUAAGCUUAUGAAUUGGUUGACCCCAACGUGGAGAGAGUACCUUGAAUUAUCCAGGUGCACCCAGUGUAAUCAGAAGUGUUCUUAAAAGUGAAAGAGGGAGCCAGAAAAAGACAGUAAAGUGGAGAGGUGAUAUGGAAUGAGAGAGGGGCAGAGAGAGACGAUGUUACUAGCUUUGAAGGUAGAGGAAAGGGCCAUGAGCCAAGCAAUGUGGGCAGCCCCCAGAAACAGAAAGGGCAGGUGAAGGAAUUCUCCUGCAGAGCCUCCAGACCCGAACCCAGACCUGCUUGCACCUUGAUUUUAGCCCACGAGACCAAUGUCAAGCUUCUUUUUUUCAGCUUUAUUGAAUUAUAAUUAACAAAUACAAUUGCAUAUAUUUAAAGUGUACAAUGUGAUGAUUUGACAUACGCGUACAUUGUGAAAUGACUACCACAAUCAAGUUCAUUAACACAGCCAUCACCUCACAUAGUUACCUUUUGCUGACAGGAGUGAACCCUUGAGGUCUACUCUCUUAGCAAAUUAUAAGUACACAAUACAGCGUUGUUAACUACAGUCUCCGGACUGUGUGAGAACUCCAGAACUUGCUGAUCUUAUACCUGAAACUCUGCACCUUGAACCAACAUUUCCCACUUCCUCCAUCCCACAACCACCCUUCUAGGCUGUUUUUCUAUAGGUUUACCUCAUUUAUUUUAGGUUCCACAUAUACAUGAUAACAUAAAGUAUCUGUCUUUCUGUGUCUGGCUUAUUUCACAUAGCAUAAUGCAUUCCAGGUCCAUCCAUGUUGCCACAAAUGGCAGGAUUUCCCAAUGUUGAACUUCUAUCCUAUGGAACUGUAAAAUAAUAAAUUUGUUUGUUUAAGCCACUAAGUUGUGUUAAUUCAUUACAGCAGCAAGGGGAAAGGAAUACAUUUUGAAUACAGGUACUGUGAUAAGUAAGUGGGAGGACCAAGGAGAAUAAAUUAUGCCCAAAGGCUUUGCAAUAGAUUGGUUUACCCUAAUGCUGUUGUAAUAAAACUUACUAGUCAUAGCUGUCUCUGAUGCAGAUCAACCUUGCCAGGGUUUUAAUGAAUUUUUUUGAAGAAAGUCAGUACAUUCCAGUGAAGUCCAUUUUACCCUGACCAGCUGUUUCUAUAUUGAAAGAAAAAUAAUAAGUAUGAAGACAGGAAAAAAAGAAAAUCAUUAUUAGGGUGGUUGUUUUGUAGGCAGUUUUGAUUUGGACUACUGACUUCUGAGAUUUCUAAGCUGAGAGGGAUAGUAGCUGGAAGAAACUUUGCAACUAAAAUUCUACAAGUUUAUGUUUUUUCUUAAACUUUUAAAGUGUUCUCCUGUACACUUCUUUUUUGACAGCAAGUUUUUGAAUGACUUGUCUUUUCCAACUUGGUUUUCAUAAAACCCAUAACUAAUUCUGCAUUUACAUUUCAACAGUUUGCAACAUGAUAAUAAAAACUUUAAGGAACUGGCAUAAACCAACUUGGGAGCAGACAUAACUGAUCCUUGGUGAGCUGACAGUUCAGCUGGUGGAGGAAGAAUGUUCUGGAACCUGUCAUCUGUGGGGAGAAGGAUUCAGGAAGCAUGGCUGUCUGCAUGUUGCUAUGAACUUACGUUGCCUGCAAGGGCCCCCUCAGGCCAUGGGAAGGGUCUACAAAUGUGUUCACCACAUGAAACUUGCCUGAGUCAAAUAUGCUCCAAUCAGCUUAGACCACUGUUGAUUUCUACUCCAGUUUCUUCUCACUCUGGGUGAUGUGGAGUGGCUGAUAGCAAUUUUGGGGUUGGCUCAAGGAAGCUGAGCUGGAGAUACAUUUAGCUUGGGUUUGGUGGGACACAUGAUUUGCAAUGGCUUUCAUGUGUAAAAAUAUUAUUAUAGCCACAGUUUUAAGCCAGCAACACACACUGUUAGAUCCGUAACCAGGUUUGAAGUUAUCAUAUGCUAAAGAUAACACUACUACACUAUAAGGCCUUUCCUAUGCUGCUAGUGUGCCAGGAACUGUGAGGGGUCUGAGGCUUUACUUUACUUGUAAGAUCACAAAUGAGCCUCCCAGUUUCAUGGAUGUUGGUAGAAGACAUGAGACUCCUGGGCCAGAGACAAAGGACUUCAGUAGUCAUGGCAGAGCAGGCAGCAUGAACUCCUGUUCCUAUCAGUUCCUUUUGUUCCCUAGGGUUCAUAGGGGUGACACAGAGUGGCCCUAGUGGAUGCCAUGCAGAGAGCGAGUCUGCAUCACAUCUGAGGAUCACCAAGUUUAGGAGAUGCACCCCUUUUAAGAGACUAUUAGCAAACUUUCCCAACCUUUACCUAGAAGAAACAUUAUCUUUACUAUCCUGGUCAGGAAACAAAUCUGCCCUCUGACCUGGAGGGAGAUAUGAUCGCUGUCUUCCAAGGUCACUUGUUAUGCUAACAUUCUUGGAAAGAUAAUCCAGGGGGUAAAAAAGUCAUCAGUUUCUUUGCUGAAAAGGUGUGCAGAAAUAUUAGAGAUCCAUGAAGAAAUAUCUCCAGUACAGUGCUAUAUCCACAGGCGUUGAUUCCUUAACCUAAAGGCGGGAGAAUCUCUCCUUAGCCUCUCACUAGCAGCUGACAGCCUUUCUCACCUCCCUAGCUGAGUCCAGCACACUUUUCUUUUCUUUUUUUCUUUUUCUUUUUUUUUUUUUUGAGACAGAGUCUCGCUCUGUCACCCAGGCUGGAGUGCAGUGGCACGAUCUCGGCUCACUGCAAGCUCUGCCUCCUGGGUUCACGCCAUUCUCCUGCCUCAGCCUCCUGAGUAGCUGGGACUAUAGGCCAGCACACUUUUCUAAUCUUAUCCUGUCUCCUUCUACCUCCCUGCACAUCAGUCAUGUAAAUUCACCUGUCCAAGCACAUCUAUAUAGGUUCUUUUCAAAUUUCCUGCAGAUUUGUCAUGGAAUAUUGACAUCAAAGAUAAGACAAAAAAAAAGCCACUACAAUGUGAAUAUUGACAACAAACUGGUUAAUGAAGGUCUUCAAUUUAAAAAGAAUAUAAGAUUAAUCCCUGCAGAAGAUAACCUCAAGUGCCCUGAAAUUUUACAACUCAUAUGUGAAAGACUUCAUAGAAGUUUUUCCAAAUAUGGCGAUAAUCCUAGACAUUUCGUGAGUUUGAGAAGCUAAAAGGAACUUUCCUAAGUCACCAGUAAUAAAAAAUAAAUUUUGGCCCACCAUGGCAGAAGGAAGACCGGAUUAUCUGCCUAGUCUAGAUAGAGCUGCUCAAUCCAAUAUGGUGGCCACUAGCCACUUGUGACUACUGGGCAUUCAAAAUGUGGCCAGUGCACAUUGAGAAGUGAUGUGAGUGUAAAACGCACACCAGAUUUCAAAGACUUACUAAAAAAAAAAGAAUGUAACAUUCCACAUUGGCAUAUUUUAUACUAAUUAUAUGUUCAUAUUACAAUAUUUGGCUAUAUUAGGUUAAUAAAG
rnacentral:lncRNA from 1 species